GGUCAUGAGCGCCAGCGCUAAGCCCCGGCUUGCUGGCCGGCAACCCUCCAACCGCGGUGGGGUGCCCCGGGUGAUGACCAGGUUGAUGUAACCGAGAACCGGUUACGCGGCAAGCGCGGGUC
rnacentral:ncRNA from 1 species